rnacentral:rRNA from 1 species
CCUACGGGAGGCAGCAGUGGGGAAUAUUGCACAAUGGGGGGAACCCUGAUGCAGCGACGCCGCGUGAGUGAAGAAGUAUUUCGGUAUGUAAAGCUCUAUCAGCAGGGAAGAAGAUGACGGUACCUGACUAAGAAGCCCCGGCUAACUACGUGCCAGCAGCCGCGGUAAUACGUAGGGGGCAAGCGUUAUCCGGAUUUACUGGGUGUAAAGGGAGCGUAGACGGCAGGGCAAGUCUGGAGUGAAAGCCCGGGGCCCAACCCCGGGACUGCUUUGGAAACUGCCAUGCUGGAGUGCUGGAGAGGUAAGCGGAAUUCCUAGUGUAGCGGUGAAAUGCGUAGAUAUUAGGAGGAACACCAGUGGCGAAGGCGGCUUACUGGACAGUAACUGACGUUGAGGCUCGAAAGCGUGGGGAGCAAACAGGAUUAGAUACCCGAGUAGUC